AAUUAAGAAGCAAUUUAUGCAUUCAGUUUCGACCUGAAAGAAAGAUUAUUUAAUCCUUAAUUA
rnacentral:tRNA from 1 species